UUUACAGCCAAGCUGUCUCCGACAGCCGGUCCACAAGCUCUGCCGGGUCAUUUCACACUGUCAGGGAUAUUGAUUCAGUAACCGUCCAAGGUUAGAAAACCCGUGAGCGCGCAGCUGAAGAGGACCUUACAAAACCUUCUCUGAAGUUAACCUCGGAAAUCCUCGUCCUAUAUGCCCCAUGAAUUGCGUCUCCGACUGGAUUAUCCAAACUAGUGAGCCUCUGCCGAGUGUGCACAGCGGACUUGGGCACAGCGAGCUUGAUUAUAUUUCAGCAGGGUAGUUAACUCUUUGGGUGAUAUGGGGAAAUGGAAAUCUCAUUCACUGACCUAGAAUGAGAGGGAAGAGAUGAGUGCCGGCAUCCUGCUCUUUAUGUCCUUCCGGAACUCUCCAAUCUGUGUCGUGGAGUAUUCACCACAGAAGACUUCUUGGAUAUGAAUUUCAGCCAAGUCUUCAUUAGCCGGCAGUGACCACGCUGAAUUUCAGGAUCCAAAUGUAGCACCGAACCUUUCACAUGGCAGUGCUGUCUACAUGUUGAGUUUUUGUCCUGAAUGGUACUUCC
rnacentral:lncRNA from 1 species